rnacentral:piRNA from 1 species
UGCCUAGCCGUGUUGUGGACGAACAAG